ensembl:snRNA U6 U6 spliceosomal RNA
GUUGCAGUCUUCGGCAACACAUACACUAAAAUUGGAACAAUACAAAGGAAAUUAGCAUGGCCCCUGCACGAGGAUGACACACAAAUUCAUGAAGCAUUCCAUAUUAAA